GGAGGAGGAGGAGGAGGAGGAGGAAGAAGAGGAAGGAGAAGAAGGAAGGCUCCGAGCUGGGCGUUGCUCUGGCAACGUCGCGGCCUUCGCCCCGUCAUGGCCCGUGAGGGGCGGCUCCCCUCAGCCUGAACCCCGCCAAAACGAGGGGCGAGGUUCCUGUUGCUUUUUGUUGAAAGCCUCAAUUAAAAUUAAUCUGGGAAGGCAAUAAUAAGGAAUGAAAUGAAGGGAUAUAUAUAAAUAUAUGUGUACUGCGGUAUCAUUACUUGUCGGUGGCGAUUAAGGGAGUCCUGCUGUCUGGAAAUUGGCUUUGCCUCCCAGGAAACCUGAGGAAAGAGCUGCCCUAGUUAAUGCUGCUGUAGCUCUUGGGAGAGGCUUGGAAUGAAAUAGAUACAGGUUUUCUUUUGAAAUAUGCUCUUGAAUAAAUUAGUUUGCGUCCAGAAAUGGCAUCUGUUUUCCUUGGCUCAGAUAUUUUUCUAGGAAAAGUGUUUAGAUAUGCAGCUCACACGGAAAGUGGGGCUAAUAUCUGAGCAGCUUUGAAAAUCGGUGCAUCGGAAAAUGUUGUUUUUAGAACAGAAAUGCUGGUUUAAUUCCAAAGUUUAAAUACAGAAAUGCUGUGGGGUCAGUAACUCCUGGAGAGGGAAAGGAUGGGCCCUUAGACGUAGAUCUCAUGAGGUGAAAAAUGAAGUGUUUGGCGGAGUUAAGUGGCCUGGUGUUCAGUGACACCAUCUAACAACAAACCUUCUCUUUUCUUUUCAAGGAAGUAGCUGAAAACACUGGCUGCAUCUCUGUGUCUCUUGGAGGUAGGUUUUGAGGAGGCAAUUUGGUCCACUUUUAUGAUGUUUUUGAAAAUGGUGCCUAGAAUUUCCCGACUGGAAGUUUGAGGUCACAUAUCCUCUGCAUUUCGCUUGGGCUGUGGCUGAUGGAUUGGAAGAAACCUGGGCUGGUUAUUACAGGUCACUUGCUGAUUUAUCUCCAAUUCACAGCUCAUUAGAAGGUGUGUAACUCUUCAGAGAUGUUGUUAUUUAACAGAGAAUAUCCAGAGCUGGAAAGGACCCACUGGGAUCAUCAAAGCCCAAUUCCUGGCCCUGCACAGGACAGCCCUAAGAAUCCCACCAUUGAUUGCUUUGAGUCUGUGAGGUUGAAGGCAUGAAGAUGAGGACAUUAAAGCCUUUGCCCACUUAUGACAAUUAUUCUGGAGACAAACACAGGUCAGAAGACAAAUGUUACAAGCUACCUGUAAGUUCUGGUUCACAAAACAGAUGAGAAUCCAGACAUACUUCUGAACUUGGAAAUGAAAUUUAUUCUCAAGUUCUUAAUUGCUGGCUUGUGAAACAGCUUGUCUGUGAAAAUGGAAAGAAUGGACAGCCUUGAAAAACUCCCUUUCCCCUGCCCUGAAGAACUGCAGCCACAGUGUUUCAUGUGGAAGAGGAUUCCUCAAAAAUCACCAGUUUCCCAAAGGAAGGAGGUUGUUAUUUGGUAAUUUAGGCCUUGUGGACCCUCAGCUUGAGUAGCCCUGGGAGGGCCAAAGGUGCUUCCUUUUCCAGUUCACUGCCUGGAUUUUAGAAGAUGUCAUUUUUUAGCAUCUAAACAAGGAAAUCACAGCUAUUUACAUGAGAAGAAUCACAGAGAUGACAGGGCUUCCCCCCAAAACACUGCCUGUGUAAUUGCUGAAGACAUUCCAAGCCACUCUAACGAAGUACUGUCUGCCAGUCAUUAUGUUCUCCUUGGAGGACCAUCUGUUGCACUUCAAAUAUGUAAAGGUCUGCUAUCAUUUAUUGCUCCAAACAAAUCCAGGCCUUUGUCUGACGUGCUGGAGCUCCUGAAUGGAUUCUAAAGGUGGUUUCAGUCACAAAGGGCAAGAUACUCCCUUUGGUUGCACUCUAAGUGAAAGGUACUCCUUCAGCUCAAAUUUCAGAGCACAGAUAUACUGAUUAAACUGAUUUCUGAAUGUUUUCCGUUUAUUUAGAAAUGGAUUUUGAACAACAACUAUUAAGAAUAUCUGAAAUACAUUUUCUCUUAAUUCAGCCAGGAGGACAUUGGAAGAUUUUUGCUCCUGGUGAGCAAAUCUUUCCAUUGUAGUGGUAUCCAGAUUUGAUAUAUAUUGAGAUUGGAAUGAAAAUUACCUUAUUUUAACUAAAUUCUUUAAUUAGCUUAUUUGUAUCUGAAACUAGUGAUUCAAAGAAAUAGUAAAAAAUAGAGUCAGCAGCUCAAAAUGCUCAAACCUUUCUUAGCACGUCCUUUAAAAGGAUGUAAUAGUUGGUUGUACAGUCAUUAUUUAUAGGUUAAUUAGGAUCCUUUCCAUGAGUAAAAUGAGCAAGAUCAGGCAUUAAAAUAUGCUGAUUUUUGUUUUUCCUGCUGCACAUUUUAAAGAGGCUGUACAAUCAGAUUGGAGAACAUGAGCAUUGUAUUUCCACAGCAGAAAAGUUCUGUUCAGAGAUUUCCAGCCAGAGAAAUCCGUAACAAUUUCUCUCUGAUUAGGGAGUGGUCCUAUCUUUUUCCCUUUCUCCUCUUUCCCUUCUCCUUCCUGCACAGCAGCUAAUGUUCUGGUCAGAAGUAAUAAUAUGUUAGAUCUUGAAUGUCAGUAGCCCCAGAGAUUCUGACAAGACUAUUCAUGUGCAUUCAUACGUCUUAAGCAAAGCUGACACUAAAGAGACCAAGAAUUCUCAUAUUCCUCUUUUUAUUGCCAUGCAUUAAACUCAAAUCUUCUCUUGGAGACCUCUGCUAGAAAUGACAUAUUCACCAUUUGAAAAAGGCAUUUUAGCAAGAUUUAAACAAAGCAGCUGGACAUCAAUCUGGCACAGCUCAGAGGCUCCUGUGAAAGCUCCCAGUGCAAAGCUGAACUCUGGUUUACACCUCACAAAUGUUGUGAGAUAAAUACUAAUGGGAAGUAAACAUUCCUCCUAAUCUUUGUAAUUUUUUUUUUUAGUUAAGCUGUUUUUCUAAUUUCUUGGAACUAGAGCCCAUGUCCUUAAAGGGAUACUUGGAUUCUGGUAACUUGAGGUAGUUUUUUCCUGAGAAACACACACUGAGUGAAUAUUCUGCUCUACCUUUUACUCAGGACAUAUUUUACACACACUUGCAGGAUGGUGUACAGCACAUGUUGGGGUAAUUUUGCAGGGAUCUGAUUAAGUCAUUAAAGCCAGGUAGGCAAUUUUGCCAGCAAUAUUUUUAAUCUUCUUUUUUAAAAUGGUUUGGUAGUAGUGACUAAGGCAGACUAGGUGGCUCUGGGCAGCUCGCCAUUUUUAGGUAGUUUAAUUUGUUAAAAAUUAUCUUUCUUCCCACCCAAAUCCCCUUGAAACCAUUUGGAGAAGAGAACUGUUGAACAGUUGCCAGUAAUAAGUCCUGCUGAGACCUCUGUAUCCUCCUGACAGAAUUGUUGGUGCCAACUGGAGACUGACUGGCACGAGUUUGAACUCUACACUACUUGAUAUAUUUACUGCACAUGCACCAAUUCCAAUAAUUACCACCUCUGUAGCUGAAGUUUAAGCACUUGGUCUGCACUUCAUACCUCAGGUUGUUGGCAAUAUGUUCAAUCCUAUAAUCUCAAUUUUCUUGGAAUAAUUAAGUAGAAAAGAAAUACUUCAAAAAAUUAGGAGACAGAAUGGAAAUCAGAGGCUGAAUAAUAGAGUUGUUUGUCAUGUUGCUAUUGUUAAGCUGCAUUUAUUUCUAGUUAAUCUUUAUUUCUAAAAAGGCAGCAUCUUCUUUUGCCUGCAGAGAUUCACCAUGAGAUGCUGUAGUCCAUUGACUUUUAUAUUCAACAGCAGAGUAUCUCUUGAUGUGAAUGAAAAAGCAACAUGAACUCCUACUUUGUUUGGAUGUUUUAAAAAUAUAAAUAUUCCUUUCAAAAUAAAUGCUUUUGACUAGAAGGGGAAAUCACACAUCCCUUACUCCUUUUGGCUGCAUGUUUCCAUGUGAGAUUGGAGGGAUGUAAUACCAGGACUGGCUUUAAUUGCCCAGUUUUCCUGGCAAUUCCACUGGUUUAAAUCUGAUGCAAUGGGGACCAUCUCUCCCCCACCCCUGUUGUCUUUCCAAGAGACUGGUUAAUUUUUAAAUUGGAUCAGCAGCAUUUUUUUUAAACUGGUAAAGUUUCUAUUACACAAAGAUAAACCUUAGACUGAGCACAAACUGACUUGCCUGUAGCUUUCCUAAUAUGAUUGCACUGCACAGAGUAGAUACUAAAAUUUAUAUUAAAAUUUCUUCAUGCAGUUUCCCUCUAGGGAGAGGAAGAGGGAAGGAAAAAGCUUCAUGUGACAGAUGCUAAUUAUGCAGCUUAAUGCACUUCUGGAAGUUGCAGAGAUGAGAACUCUAUAAGAACCUAUCUAUAAAACAGAGCGUAUUUGCAAUAGCAUUUUUUCCUCUUUUUUUAUUUUUUUAUCUGCCUCUUCCCUGUUUUCCAGGAGGUUUUAUAUCCCAAAGAGUACAAAGGGAAAGCAGUGUCUCAGGUCCAGAAUUUGCCAGGCAUGGAUAUAAUUGUUCUCCAUUGUGUCUCACUGUUCUGAGGUGCUGUACGUGGAAUUGGGACAGCUUCAAGGUUCUGAGUCAGGAAGACUUCUAGUUGAUGUGUUAGUUUUCUUUCCUCUUUAGUGGAUUAUUUUAUUAAUUCCUUAUCCUGUGUUUCGGUUUGCUGGGCAAAUUAUGUUCUGCACUUGUGCUGGGAUCCUAUAGAAGGAUUUAUUGGGAUGAAUGCGUCAGGACUGAUGAACUGGAUCCCAAAAAUGCAUUUUAUAGAGAAGUGACCUGAGACACACAGAGUUCCUCCAAACUGGGAGGUGCAUCCACACCAAACCCAGUGUUAGAAACUAAUCCUCUCUUCCAGACACUGAGCUGUGCUGUUAGAAGGAAAAUAAAUUGAUUCCCAACCAGGGAACAUUCGGUGGUGUCCUGAAAUCAGUGGGACAUGCAAGAGCCAUUGUCCUGGAUUUCCAAAUCUACCAAAUCCCUUUUACCAAAUGAUUCUUUUUCCUCCUAGCAGUAAAUCCAUACCAGCUCUUGUGUACUUAAUGCCAAAUGCUGCUUUCCCUAAUUUCCUUCAAAUCCUUGGAUUUCUCCUUGGGGAGGUGUGACUUGAGAACCUCUCCUGCAGGGACAUCUCGGUGGCGCUGGAACUUCCGAGGGGCUUGGCUUGGCCCUGGGCACCCAGGAAUGCUCCUCACAGCCCUCGGCUGCAGCCACCGCAGGGAAAACCAUCUGUUCCCCUUGGAAAGGGGUUUGCUUCCACCCGGAGCCCUCCCCCCGCAUCCCAGCUCCGGCCCCAGCUGCCGUGUUUCGAUGAGCACUGAGGGAAUGAAUCUCCUGCGUUUAAAAAUACUCUGCUUCUAUUUAGAUGAAAAGAAGAAUCUUGCUUGCCUACACUGACAUACAAAAAUAGGCUCAGUGUGAGUAAAUCUUCAAAGUUUCUCUUGGUGAAUAUAUCUAGCCUUGCUUUUUUUUUUUUUUUUUUUAAACUUAUCAUAUAAGUUUAUUUAUAGAGUGUCCUUCUUUCCUCCUACUCUAUCAAGACAUUUGCAGAAGGUUGUCACUUGUCUUGUUCAGGAGUCCUGAAAUAAUUUGCAGGGCCUUUGAAACAUCAUCGUGUUGCAUAGUUGUGAUCAACGUGCUGCUGUUGCAUGAACAUAUCAUAUUUUAAUGUGAAUGUCAGGUUAGAUGAGACAUUCAGGGCUUUCUUUUACUUUAGGUGCUUUACACUGGUUUAUGUUUUCACUUGAACAUUGCAGUAAAAAUUCUGCAUAUAGUAACUUAAAAUUUUCCAUUCUACAUGCAAGGCAUUGCCUAGAAAAUUAAUGUGUAAUAUGAGAGGAUUAGUAAGAUGCAUACACUUUCCAAACAUCUCUUAAAAAUAGCUUUCACUGUCACUGUAGCAUCUUAAUUCUGAAUAAUCUCACAGUCCUUCUGCAAAUCUGUGCAUAUAGUAACAGAGAAACCACCUACUUUAUCCUCUUGAACUGCACAAUAUGGAUCUGGGCAUGAAAAAAACUGGGUUUUGGAGUAGGGCUCUGCUUUGGCAGAGAGGCUGUCUGGGGGACUAGUAAGAGCAUUAACGCAUUAAAUAUUAAAGUCAGCUUUCACAAUACUUGCUUA